UAGCGCACAUAAGGAGAAUCCACUGCCUAAACCCCCAUAACAAGUGAUAACAAAAAAUCGUCUAAUUAAUUUGACUUAUCUAUAACUUAUUCAAGUUUCAUAAAAAGACACCCUUAUUGUUUCUAGUAGGACAUUGAGCCAUGACUUUUUUCAUCUCCCAUUCAUACAGUAAAAAAAAUAAGAGCUUUCCGAGAACCACAUGUUUUCUUCUAUAAAACUGAACUCAACAAAACAAUUAACACUAAUAAUUUGCUUCACUGGGAAGAGAAUAUUUUUGUCAAUUAAUAAUUGCAAUAACGCGACCCCAUCCACGAAGCACUAAGUAUUUUCCAAAGCCGACGACAUCUUCCAUUUUGUCAGAAUUUUCGCCAUUUCGUGAAUUAGUCGCAUCAGAAGUUCGAGUGGUGUGUAAUAACAUGAGAAAUAGCGUUUGAACGAUCUUUGUCCACAAUACGAGGCAGAACGACAAGAAGUGAUCGACUUCGGGGUGAAAGACAACAUUGAAGUAAGGAGAUCGUUAAGAAUGCUUCUCCGUGAGUGUUAGGUAUGCUGAAGUAUGGUAUUGGGAUUUUCACUUGGGACAAUGAACUCAGAGGACCACUAUUUAGUUGAGAGAGUGGUACGGAGGCUCAAAUUCCACACAAUAAUAUAAGCAUGUGGAGAGCCUACACUCUCACAAGGUUCAGCGAAGUAAAAUAAAACAAAUGACUUGGUGAACUCAUCGCGCGAUAAUUUUGUGCCGGGAGAAGAACUUUUGUAGUGUGAAUCGAUUGAAUGGGAUAUUUUCGUUUUUUUCUCGUGAUAGUGUUUGCAGAAAGGAGUGCAAUGAAGUUUCUAGUGGAGUGUUGAUGUCAAACGACUAUGAAAAUGUCUUGUGGUCGAGGAUAUCCAAGCUCUAUGCAUAAGCUAAAGCACUUCCAAUUAAAUUAAACAAUUCCAAUUCCAUUAAAAAUUCAAACAAAAAGUGUCGAGUAAAUACUUUGCACAAGAACAACCUAAAAUAAUAAAAUCAUUGUCAAAUACCAUAAACUUCAAAAUAGAACAGUACUUGGAUAUUCUCUGGUGAACUAGUGUUGUGUUUUAUCACUGAACGAGUCAAGGUCAAGUGUCUGGAAGGUGCUCACAUCUAGAAGACUACCGGCAGACCGUUGCAGAGAUAAAAAAAACUUGUUUUUAUCUAACACCGUUUGCCCUCACCCACCGUCAACGCCGACGCUCGACUCGGCCUUGAGGCGAUUAAAGGUGUCCGAGACUUGUAGCAAACGGGUUCAGGAAACUCCGUGCUCCUCAAACCGUGGCACGAGUAAAGAGACCCACAGCCGGAUGGUGAAGAUCGGAUAACUUUGUAAUAUAAGUGGGGGGGGAUUGGUUGAUUCUCCUCGGCGUUACGCUACGAUUGGGUACAAUCCGUAUAUACUGGAAUACUUGUUUUGUCAGUAUGCGGUGAAAAUGUACGUAAUAUACGCGAGCGUGGAGAGUGGAGGCGCAGCUAUUACGGGCAUUGACUCUAUUAAACCGGAAUUUUCAACCUAAUCCUCAUUCAAAGGUGUCCACAA